AAUAGAUACCCUGGUAGUCCACGCCGUAAACGAUGAGUGCUAAGUGUUAGAGGGUUUCCGCCCUUUAGUGCUGCAGCAAACGCAUUAAGCACUCCGCCUGGGGAGUACGGCCGCAAGGCUGAAACUCAGAGGAAUUGACGGGGGCCCGCACAAGCGGUGGAGCAUGUGGUUUAAUUCGAAGCAACGCGAAGAACCUUACCAGGUCUUGACAUCCUCUGCCACUCCUAGAGAUAGGACGUUCCCCUUCGGGGGACAGAGUGACAGGUGGUGCAUGGUUGUCGUCAGCUCGUGUCGUGAGAUGUUGGGUUAAGUCCCGCAACGAGCGCAACCCUUGAUCUUAGUUGCCAGCAUUCAGUUGGGCACUCUAAGGUGACUGCCGGUGACAAACCGGAGGAAGGUGGGGAUGACGUCAAAUCAUCAUGCCCCUUAUGACCUGGGCUACACACGUGCUACAAUGGAUGGUACAAAGGGUCGCGAAACCGCGAGGUCGAGCCAAUCCCACAAACCAUUCUCAGUUCGGAUUGG
rnacentral:rRNA from 1 species